UACGUAGGGUGCGAGCGUUGUCCGGAAUUAUUGGGCGUAAAGGGCUCGUAGGCGGUCUGUCACGUCGGGAGUGAAAACUCAGGGCUUAACCCUGAGCCUGCUUCCGAUACGGGCAGACUAGAGGUAUGCAGGGGAGAACGGAAUUCCUGGUGUAGCGGUGAAAUGCGCAGAUAUCAGGAGGAACACCGGUGGCGAAGGCGGUUCUCUGGGCCUUACCUGACGCUGAGGAGCGAAAGCAUGGGGAGCGAACAGG
rnacentral:rRNA from 1 species